AAGGAGACCUAAUUCGGGUAUGGGAUGAAAAAAAAGUAGUCCCAACCAAGAAUCAAUCCCAAAAGGUCGGAGCGAGGCGAAAUUGGCUUUCAAACUAGGUUCUGGGUUCACAGAAGACCUGAAUCAGGAACAAGGGCUAUUAGCUCAGGUGGUUAGAGCGCACCCCUGAUAAGGGUGAGGUCCCUGGUUCGAGUCCAGGAUGGCCCACCUGCACAGGUGGUAAAAACAAGAGAAGCGAGGAAUCAGCACCUUAUCUUACUUACAUAGUAAGAGAGAAUGCUGGCUCUGAGUAAAGAGUCCAGAGGAACCUUGAAAACUGCAUAGAGCUAGGUGAAAAAGCCAAAAAAGAAGACCGCAA
rnacentral:tRNA from 1 species